UUUUCGUAUUUAUUUUCUCUUACCGAUGUGAGGCUAAAAAUGUAUACAGCUAGCAAGUUCAGCAUAUACCUUCUGCAACAAUAGGUAUAAAGUACGCUUUCUUGAAGUGUGUUUGCCUUCAGAGGAUGCUAAACAUCAGCUACUCUAUGGACCUAGCGGCUAAAUUUGAUGACCACAUUUGUAGGAUUAAACUCAGGUCAAAAGCAAACAGGCAAACAAUUCACUCCUGAUGAACAAAAAUAAAUACAUGAUCUAUUAUGCAAAGGACAGUACGGGUUACCUACAUCUGAUUUAUUAUGCAACAACAGAACAUCUAGCUCUCUUUUUUGCCAACCAACGCUUAGCUCUAAAGCACGCCUAGGCAUGCACUUUGGCAAGAUAAAAGCUAGUCAGUGGGAAAACACAAUUAACAGCUAGCAUUUUUCCCUAAAUAAAAGGAUUCGAAAAGCAUGUAAAGUAUGUAAAAUAUAGGGAGAAAGUAGACAAACAGAAGAGGUGGUUUAUGUAGGUCAUUGACAAUGUUAGGCAUGAUUAUGAAGCAAUUUAUUCUCUCUAAGCUAGACCAUUCUCAAAGUAAAUACGGAAGAACACCAAUAAUAACAUAAUGACCAUGUAUCAUGGAAAGAAGGUUCAUUAGCCAAGUAAUAUUAUUUUUGAUGCAUUAGAUAUACAAACUGAAACUAAAUUGAACUCAGGGCUAACAUAACCAUUUAACAGAUUGGGAAUAGAGCAGCUUGAAAGAUACAGAAGCAACAACACACGAAGAGAGAGACUACUUACAUUCAAACCACUACACCGAGCUCUUCAAAGUGUUGAUGCUAAUUGCCAAUCACAAAAGUUUCCUGCAGGGAGCAAAGGUAUUCCAUUCAAUGUGUGUCUUCAUGAAACAGUAAAGAACUGAUCAAAGCUUAAGCAUGCCGCAGAAUGCUAGAUUGCUAGUCACCCUUUUAUAUCUAAAACAGCCUGAAGAGAGAAAGAACCUAGCAAGAUAUGAGGGUGCGUGUGAUUACAUAUUCCAAGACUAUAAGGUAUGAAUAAAAGAAAACUACCACAACAAAAAAUGAUAAAUAAUAUCAUAAUGAUCCCUAAUCCUCCAAUACCAAUACUGCAUUAUGCAGAGCAAGCGAGCUGCUAUAAAUGAAAUUUAAUAUGAGCAAUUGAGCAUUUGAUAGACCGAAAACGAUAUGGAAAAUCAGUAAAUAGAUGUACAUAUCUCAUUCCUAUUUUGCAACAGAGAAAAAUAAAAUACACCGGCCGAAGUGACAAAUCAGUUUUUAUGUGUGAAGGCUGGAGGUUAUAUUCUAAUAAGUGAGAAUCCAUCAAAGAAAAAUAAAUUCAAGAUUGGCAAUCCUAUAAAUGUAGAUGAAAUAAAGCUCCACAUUCAGUAUGAUAUUCUUAUUUCUUUUUGGACAUUUAACAAGGAAAGUCACUAAUUGAAAAUUCACUUCAAACCACAUUUUUUCACCUAUGAGCUUGUCAGAAGUUUAUUUGUGCCGCUUUGUCUUCAUGAGCUCACCUCGGUCACUUGCCUCAUCAGUGACCUACACCAUCUCACAAUGUCAAACACAUCCAUUCAUGGCCGAGGAUAUAUCUUCCACCACUGCAACUGAAAAGGGAACAUAAACGAAUUAAAUGAGCAUGUAAAGACAAUAAAAAGUGUGCUUAAAAAGAACCAAGUCAAUACGCCUUGAGAUGGUUCUACAAAGCAGUAGCAUGGCAAGGAUCAAAGAUAGAACUUCAUGUCACACUAUGGUCAUGCAUCACUGAAACGAAAAAAGGGACGUCGAAGAUAGCUGACCUCAAUGCAAUUUUUUUUGCUGAGGGGGGCAACACUGCUACCAAAUUUUGUUUCAGACAUUGAGGUUUAACCAUUCACAAAAGUAAUCAGUAGUCUGAAGGUUCACUUGCAAGCUCAAAGCUGGAACCAUCACAAGAUUAGAUAAUCUUCGGAUUUCUUUAGCUCCUAGAACUAAUCAAUCGAUUACACCUCAUAGUCAAAUAUCUAGCACCAAAAUAGGAAAUGUAGAUAGUCCAAGAAAGAUACACAAUGAUGCAUAGAGCUCUUGUCUUUUAUGGCUUCACAAACCAGCGGACAUGAAAAUGCAAACUUAGCAUAUCGUUUCUAGAACAUGUAAGCAAUAGAGUAUUGCUAGCCUUUUCUUUAGAACACUCCACUAUUAGUUCAGUGCAAUAUCAAAUAUGCUAUCUCUCUCACACGGAACGAAUACUGGAAAAGAGAAAAUCAGUCCAAAUAGUUUCAUUAUGUUGGCGCCGCCUCCUCGCGCAGCGCCACUUCUUCUUCCUUGUGCUGCCUCGCACAACUCUCUUCUCUCAUGGUUUCUCUCAAGAACACAAGAACACACGCACACACGCAACCAAGGAAGAAGACCAUCGGCUUUGCCCAGAACACUCUCCCUCGGUGAGCACAAAGACUACAUUAUUUUGCCCAGCCCUCACGGCCACUCUUUCUCAUUCAUCUGAUCACCUUAAAUACCAGUACAGAAAGAUCCACACACGCACUGGCCAGCCGCCACACUCGGCUACUAACCCCCACUAAUCCAACUAACUUGCAUGCAUCCAUGCACGCACGAUCCACUCAGCCCGGCCACGCGCACGGCGCGCUCCUACACGCACGACGCGGCUGCCUCCAACGGCCCCUACUGCAUGCACUAACAAACUGGAGUCUAACUCAAACUACGUACACCAAUCACCACAACCACCGUGUGGCUUAUUCCUAACACAUCAAUCCUUCAGCUACAAAAUCUAGGACAAUAGUGUUCUAGCCUUAAGAAACUGAGAAAGCAACAAACAAAAACAAAAGUACGUACAAUUAUGUGUAACAGCGGCAGGCAUGGCAGACACAAAACUAAUAACAUCCUGACCUAUCAUCUCUAAAACCAAACUGCACAAGAAUAAAAUAAUCUAAAAGAACAUGAACACCAUGUAUCUAUUUAGUGUGGUAACUAAAAGGAGAGACAUCUUGCAUGCACGACGGUCCUACCCUUGCAUUCAAAAUAGCUAUAUAAAUGAUACUUUUUUCCUUUUUGCACUUUGUCAAGCAGGCAAAAUAUGUAACAAAGAAAUUACACAUGAAAGACUAAAAUUCCCUUUACAUAUCUAUAUAACCAAGGCAACAAGCAGUAGAUGCAUGUGGUUAACAAACCUUAUUAUGUUCCACAAGAGAGAAGACCUUCCUCCGCUAGAUUAUCUUCUCUUCUUUCUCGGAUCUGCACAUGUCCAUUUUAGAAGUCAAUAUAUUAGUAAGUCGAAAUCAGAGUGCCAGAGGAAAUGUGAGGCAAGGAGCACCUAAUUCCUAACAUGCAUUCCAAGUAACUAUAUAAAUGAUACCUUUACCAUUUUACACUUUGUCGAGCAGCCUUUUUACACUUUGCUGAGCAGGUAAAAUCUGUAAGAAAACAAACAAGUUACAGUGCAAAGAACACCCCUGGUGGCCAAGAAGGAAUUGUUUCUGUGAACACAACCAAAGAUGCAUGGAUGUGCUGCAAACAGAAGAAACAAAUACAUACCUCUCAGAUUAAGACACUCUGUAAGCAGAUUCCUCUGUACUUUCCCUACCAGCCACUACACUGCACACUCCAGGCUGGACACAAGAGUCCAUUUCGUUGCAUGAACCAUUGGAAACCAACCGCUGGAGGUGGGAGACUUUGACCACCACAAAGUCUCUGCUUACGACCAACGACAAGCAGCAAUCUGAAAAACAAUAGGUCGAGCCUGCGCAUCAGACCGCGGUCAAAGAACCGGUGCCGUUUGAUAGCAAGAACAGACAGCAAAAAGGCAGAUAGAGGAAGGAAAGGGAAAACACAGGGUCUGAUAGGCGAACGCACAGCUACAACCACGAAGGAUCAACUGAUCGGACUUGUACCUCAAAUCAACUUCAAAUCAGGCAGCAACCCCAUGCCUUGAACAAUGAUGGGCCGGGAGGGACCUUCACAUCCUCGGCUCGGGCUUUUCGCACACCCUGGC
rnacentral:lncRNA from 1 species